GCGCACAGGUGCACAUACACUCAAAUUAGAAUGACACAGAGAAAAUUAGCGUCACCCCUGCACAAGAAUCACAUACACAUGCAUACCCAAAAUCGUGAAGCAUUU